UACGUAGGGUGCAAGCGUUAAUCGGAAUUACUGGGUUUAAAGGGUGCGUAGGUGGGUUGGUAAGUCAGUGGUGAAAUCUCCGUGCUUAACAUGGAAACUGCCAUUGAUACUACUGAUCUUGAAUUUUCAGGAGGUAAGCGGAAUAUGUCAUGUAGCGGUGAAAUGCUUAGAUAUGACAUAGAACACCAAUGGCGAAGGCAGCUUACUACAGGAAUAUUGACACUGAUGCACGAAAGCGUGGGGAGCAAACAGG
rnacentral:rRNA from 1 species